rnacentral:lncRNA from 1 species
AACAAAUACACAUCAUACCAGAUAAUAGAGAAAAUUAAAUAAAUCAUGAAAUGCUCAGAUUUUUGUAUCAUGCUUUGCGAAGUCGUUACGACUUCCAUCUCUGAAGGCAUAUAAGGAUUUAUGACUACCCCUGUGGAAUGACCAGAUCAAAUAAAGAUAACGGCAAUUUACUCAAGCACAUUUCCGACUUGGUAAACCAUGAUCCGAACUAUGACCACGACCAUGCCAACUAUAGUGGUCUUAUUAGAUAUUCAAUAGUCACAACAUUAUUU